rnacentral:rRNA from 1 species
CUUAUGCGUUGUUGGGUAGGGGAGCGUUCUGUAAGCCUGCGAAGGUGGCCUGUGAGGGUUGCUGGAGGUAUCAGAAGUGCGAAUGCUGACAUAAGUAACGAUAAAGCGGGUGAAAAGCCCGCUCGCCGGAAGACCAAGGGUUCCUGUCCAACGUUAAUCGGGGCAGGGUGAGUCGACCCCUAAGGCGAGGCCGAAAGGCGUAGUCGAUGGGAAACGGGUUAAUAUUCCCGUACUUGGUGUUACUGCGAAGGGGGGACGGAGAAGGCUAUGUUGGCCGGGCGACGGUUGUCCCGGUUUAAGCGUGUAGGUGUGUGUUCCAGGUAAAUCCGGUUCACUUUAACACUGAGGCGUGACGACGAGGCACUACGGUGCUGAAGCAACAAAUGCCCUGCUUCCAGGAAAAGCCUCUAAGCAUCAGGUAACAUCAAAUCGUACCCCAAACCGACACAGGUGGUCAGGUAGAGAAUACCAAGGCGCUUGAGAGAACUCGGGUGAAGGAACUAGGCAAAAUGGUGCCGUAACUUCGGGAGAAGGCACGCUGACACGUAGGUGAAGUGAUUUACUCAUGGAGCUGAAGUCAGUCGAAGAUACCAGCUGGCUGCAACUGUUUAUUAAAAACACAGCACUGUGCAAACACGAAAGUGGACGUAUACGGUGUGACGCCUGCCCGGUGCCGGAAGGUUAAUUGAUGGGGUCAGCGCAAGCGAAGCUCCUGAUCGAAGCCCCGGUAAACGGCGGCCGUAACUAUAACGGUCCUAAGGUAGCGAAAUUCCUUGUCGGGUAAGUUCCGACCUGCACGAAUGGCGUAAUGAUGGCCAGGCUGUCUCCACCCGAGACUCAGUGAAAUUGAACUCGCUGUGAAGAUGCAGUGUACCCGCGGCAAGACGGAAAGACCCCGUGAACCUUUACUAUAGCUUGACACUGAACAUUGAGCCUUGAUGUGUAGGAUAGGUGGGAGGCUUUGAAGUGUGGACGCCAGUCUGCAUGGAGCCGACCUUGAAAUACCACCCUUUAAUGUUUGAUGUUCUAACGUGGACCCGUUACCCGGGUUGCGGACAGUGUCUGGUGGGUAGUUUGACUGGGGCGGUCUCCUCCUAAAGAGUAACGGAGGAGCACGAAGGUUGGCUAAUCCUGGUCGGACAUCAGGAGGUUAGUGCAAUGGCAUAAGCCAGCUUGACUGCGAGCGUGACGGCGCGAGCAGGUGCGAAAGCAGGUCAUAGUGAUCCGGUGGUUCUGAAUGGAAGGGCCAUCGCUCAACGGAUAAAAGGUACUCCGGGGAUAACAGGCUGAUACCGCCCAAGAGUUCAUAUCGACGGCGGUGUUUGGCACCUCGAUGUCGGCUCAUCACAUCCUGGGGCUGAAGUAGGUCCCAAGGGUAUGGCUGUUCGCCAUUUAAAGUGGUACGCGAGCUGGGUUUAGAACGUCGUGAGACAGUUCGGUCCCUAUCUGCCGUGGGCGCUGGAGAACUGAGGGGGGCUGCUCCUAGUACGAGAGGACCGGAGUGGACGCAUCACUGGUGUUCGGGUUGUCAUGCCAAUGGCACUGCCCGGUAGCUAAAUGCGGAAGAGAUAAGUGCUGAAAGCAUCUAAGCACGAAACUUGCCCCGAGAUGAGUUCUCCCUGAGACUUAGAGUCUCCUGAAGGAACGUUGAAGACGACGACGUUGAUAGGC